GUCUGUGUUGUAAUUGUUGGGAUUUUUCCUGCAAGAAAAGUUAAAGAUUUCCACGCUAGAACACACAUUUCGCUUUGUACUUGAAUAUGUAUGUAUAAAGUGAAAUAAAACUAGUCUCGAGGAGUGAGUUACAGAGAUUUUGGCUCACAUGAAUAACGUUAACGUUACCAUAACGCGCGAGACCCGCUCAAGCUGUAGCAUGAAACUACAAAGUAAAAGUAAAAGCAACCUGGACCCUUGAGAUACACACGCAUGUUUGGUGAUGGAAGGAUGGUUUGUGGUGUUAGUUUGUGUGCUGUUCUCAAGGCAACCGUCUGAAGUUCAUGCAUUCACACGAAAGGCGCUGUUUUUGCACUGGAAGACAGUUUUUAAAUUUUCAAGGUCAUGUUAAAUCCCCUCGAUGACACUUGUGUGGACAUUAUGCAGCCUGUCCAUAAAAACAUUUAUAAAUGGUCAGCCAUGAGAGAUGACAUCAAUAUCAGUGUGGAGGUGCGGGUGGUAUAGAAGCUCAAGGUGGAAUAAAAGAGAGUGAUAAAGAGCCAGGUAAUGGAGCGGAACAGAGGUGGUACCACUGCAGCGUACUCCUCUCCCUCAAGCCCAGAUGAGUUGGACUUGAGCUGGGAUGAAGAACCGGAUGAGGACUUUCAAAGCCAGAUGAAUGAGAAUGGCAUCAUUGGUCUGGCAGAGAGUCAAGGGCAGCAGGAGGGAGAAGAGGAGGAGAUUGCAGAAGACCUGUUGUGGGAUGUGAAGACCCCUGAGCCUGAGCAUGGGCCACCGCCUGCACUAGAGGAGAUAAGCUGUCACCUGAGUGAGCUGCUGGACUCUGAGCCGCUCUCUCAGGCCACUGGAGAUGACUGCUGCUCUCCAUCUCUGCAGGAAGAACACAAAACAGAUGAUGACCGAAGUGUUUUGUUGGAGGAUUGGACUGAUGAUGAGGACGGUACAAGGAGCCCAACAAUUCACAGGCACAUAUUAAACCCUUUCCCACAGAGAGACACAGUGCUAGACAUGAUCGAUGAGGAAACAAAAGAGAAGGACACAUGUGAAGAUGCUCAGAGAUUCAUGGAUCAAACAUUACCUGUCACAAAAGAGAUGGCAUCUAUGUUUGAAAGGAUGAAGAGCUGUGAUUACAGUGAGAUCCCACAGCAUUUUGAGCAAAGUGAUUGUGAGGAAACUGAGGAAACCAAUGGACAGUUUCUUCCAGUCUCACAUCGCAUCUCUAGAAACACUUGUAAUCCCAUCAGGUUUCCCUAUUUGUCCUACGGGGAACUUAUGAAUAACUGUGGGAUUGAAGCUGAAACAUUUCCAGCACAGUACCAGAGGAGUUACACUGCCCCCAGCAGGCCAGCACACUGAUGCAGCUGCUACAUG
ensembl:lncRNA